UGCUGGAGGUAUCAGAAGUGCGAAUGCUGACAUAAGUAACGAUAAAGCGGGUGAAAAGCCCGCUCGCCGGAAGACCAAGGGUUCCUGUCCAACGUUAAUCGGGGCAGGGUGAGUCGACCCCUAAGGCGAGGCCGAAAGGCGUAGUCGAUGGGAAACGGGUUAAUAUUCCCGUACUUGGUGUUACUGCGAAGGGGGGACGGAGAAGGCUAUGUUGGCCGGGCGACGGUUGUCCCGGUUUAAGCGUGUAGGUGUGUGUUCCAGGUAAAUCCGGUUCACUUUAACACUGAGGCGUGAYGACGAGGCACUACGGUGCUGAAGCAACAAAUGCCCUGCUUCCAGGAAAAGCCUCUAAGCAUCAGGUAACAUCAAAUCGUACCCCAAACCGACACAGGUGGUCAGGUAGAGAAUACCAAGGCGCUUGAGAGAACUCGGGUGAAGGAACUAGGCAAAAUGGUGCCGUAACUUCGGGAGAAGGCACGCUGACACGUAGGUGAAGUGAUUUACUCAYGGAGCUGAAGUCAGUCGAAGAUACCAGCUGGCUGCAACUGUUUAUUAAAAACACAGCACUGUGCAAACACGAAAGUGGACGUAUACGGUGUGACGCCUGCCCGGUGCCGGAAGGUUAAUUGAUGGGGUCAGCGCAAGCGAAGCUCCUGAUCGAAGCCCCGGUAAACGGCGGCCGUAACUAUAACGGUCCUAAGGUAGCGAAAUUCCUUGUCGGGUAAGUUCCGACCUGCACGAAUGGCGUAAUGAUGGCCAGGCUGUCUCCACCCGAGACUCAGUGAAAUUGAACUCGCUGUGAAGAUGCAGUGUACCCGCGGCAAGACGGAAAGACCCCGUGAACCUUUACUAUAGCUUGACACUGAACAUUGAGCCUUGAUGUGUAGGAUAGGUGGGAGGCUUUGAAGUGUGGACGCCAGUCUGCAUGGAGCCGRCCUUGAAAUACCACCCUUUAAUGUUUGAUGUUCUAACGUGGACCCGUGAUCCGGGUUGCGGACAGUGUCUGGUGGGUAGUUUGACUGGGGCGGUCUCCUCCUAAAGAGUAACGGAGGAGCACGAAGGUUGGCUAACUGGUGUUCGGGUUGUCAUGCCAAUGGCACUGCCCGGUAGCUAAAUGCGGAAGAGAUAAGUGCUGAAAGCAUCUAAGCACGAAACUUGCCCCGAGAUGAGUUCUCCCUGAGACUUAGAGUCUCCUGAAGGAACGUUGAAGACGACGACGUUGAUAGGCCGGGUGUGUAAGCGCAGCGAUGCGUUGAGCUAACCGGUACUAAUGAACCGUGAGGCUUAACCUU
rnacentral:rRNA from 1 species